rnacentral:rRNA from 1 species
UACGUAGGGUGCGAGCGUUAAUCGGAAUUACUGGGCGUAAAGCGUGCGCAGGCGGUGAUGUAAGACAGAUGUGAAAUCCCCGGGCUCAACCUGGGACCUGCAUUUGUGACUGCAUCGCUAGAGUACGGCAGAGGGGGAUGGAAUUCCAUGUGUAGCAGUGAAAUGCGUAGAGAUAUGGAAGAACAUCGAUGGCGAAGGCAACCCCCUGGGUUAACACUGACGCUCAGGCACGAAAGCGUGGGGAGCAAACAGGAUUAGAUACCCUGGUAGUCCACGCCCUAAACUAUGUAAACUAGUUGUCGGGUCUUAAUAGGCUUGGUAACGUAGCUAACGCGUGAAGAUGACCGCCUGGGGAGUACGGUCGCAAGAUUAAAACUUAAAUGAAUUGACGG